rnacentral:tRNA from 1 species
GCCCGGGUGGUGAAAUUGGUAGACACAGCAGACUUAAAAUCUGCCGACCCUAAAACGGUCGUACCGGUUCGAUUCCGGUUCCGGGCACCA